GACGAACGCUGGCGGCGUGCUUAACACAUGCAAGUCGAACGGAAAGGCCCUGCUUUUGUGGGGUGCUCGAGUGGCGAACGGGUGAGUAACACGUGAGUAACCUGCCCUUGACUUUGGGAUAACUUCAGGAAACUGGGGCUAAUACCGGAUAGGAGCUCCUGCUGCAUGGUGGGGGUUGGAAAGUUUCGGCGGUUGGGGAUGGACUCGCGACUUAUCAGCGUGUUGGUGGGGUAGUGGCUUACCAAGGCUUUGACGGGUAGCCGGCCUGAGAGGGUGACCGGCCACAUUGGGACUGAGAUACGGCCCAGACUCCUACGGGAGGCAGCAGUGGGGAAUAUUGCACAAUGGGCGGAAGCCUGAUGCAGCAACGCCGCGUGCGGGAUGACGGCCUUCGGGUUGUAAACCGCUUUCGCCUGUGACGAAGCGUGAGUGACGGUAAUGGGUAAAGAAGCACCGGCUAACUACGUG
rnacentral:rRNA from 1 species